GACGAACGCUGGCGGCGUGCCUAAUACAUGCAAGUAGAACGCUGAAGAGAGGAGCUUGCUCUUCUUGGAUGAGUUGCGAACGGGUGAGUAACGCGUAGGUAACCUGCCUUGUAGCGGGGGAUAACUAUUGGAAACGAUAGCUAAUACCGCAUAACAAUGGAUGACACAUGUCAUUUAUUUGAAAGGGGCAAUUGCUCCACUACAAGAUGGACCUGCGUUGUAUUAGCUAGUAGGUGAGGUAACGGCUCACCUAGGCGACGAUACAUAGCCGACCUGAGAGGGUGAUCGGCCACACUGGGACUGAGACACGGCCCAGACUCCUACGGGAGGCAGCAGUAGGGAAUCUUCGGCAAUGGGGGCAACCCUGACCGAGCAACGCCGCGUGAGUGAAGAAGGUUUUCGGAUCGUAAAGCUCUGUUGUAAGUCAAGAACGAGUGUGAGAGUGGAAAGUUCACACUGUGACGGUAGCUGACCAGAAAGGGACGGCUAACUACGUG
rnacentral:rRNA from 1 species